rnacentral:lncRNA from 1 species
AUCCCUUAUAUACCCUAAAGUUUUCAUUUCUCUGUUUUCAUAGAAUAAUUUUUGGUAAUUUAUGCUUUGCAUAAGUGAGUUUCUGGUGCCUGUUUUAAAGAAAUCUUGAAGAACUGUCCGUGUGGAAAAAAAUUUCUUCAGGAUGUUUUAUCUUGGCCUGAUCUUUUUACAUUUCUGAGCCGGUCUGUAUCCUUCACUCUACAGUAGUGGUAAUUUCAGAAAUUUAGUAGUAUAAAAUAUUGUUGUCCAUAUGUUAAAAUCUAUAUGCCACCACUAAUUUUUUAUCCAUGAAUACUGGGUGGCAAAAUUAAGCACCUACAAAUUUAAAAUAUUUUCUAAAUGUUAAGAACUUUCUGUCAUUAAAUAGUAUUUUGGGAUAAAUUUUCUAGAAUAUUCUAUUACAUCCUCUUUACUAAGCAUGGUACUAGGUAGGUAAUUAGAGAAUAUGAGCAAGAUUCAUGUUAUUUAUUUUUAAUAAAGCAGGUAUUGCUGUCUCUAAGCCAGAUCUGGUCACCUGUCUGGAGCAAGGAAAAGAUCCCUGGAAUAUGAAGGGACACAGUACGGUAGUCAAACCCCCAGUUAUAUGUUCUCAUUUUGCUGAAGACUUUUGCCCAGG